AGCAGCUAAUAGACAGUUCUCAGUCGAUGAUCCACACGACUUUUGCUAUCGAGCACCAUUCCGACUAUAGAUUUUGUCGGAAUGCAAUUCAAAUUUUAUACCCACAACUUGAUCUAUCAGAGCUGCCCAAUUUCGAGAUGAACAUGAAAGAUGCUUUGAUGUAGCUAUGCAAGAAGCGAGGGAAUACUUACAUAUUUUUCAAAUUCAUGAUUUUUCAUAGAGCGCAGCACAUCAAAGAUCUUGAUGGAGUAGUUUCCAAGGUCAAUGAAGUGCAACCAGCUGGCGAUGCCCCACC
rnacentral:lncRNA from 1 species